GGGGGUGCACCGGUUUCGACGAGGACACGGGGGUACAGGUGGCAUGCCGAGUCCCCACCGGCUCGUAAAAAGGUGGGAAACACACAACUGCCGACGCAGAGUUGGCACUCGCUGCCUAACUAGCAGCGACGUCCUCCUCACCGCGCCUGCCGGGUGAGAUCAGGGCGUCAGACAGGUAGGCUAAGCCUGCUGGUCCCGGCCCGGGAGCGGCAGGACGAAAACCAACGGGCUGGCUGCCGAGAUCCCCGCCGACGGGGCCGCUGGGCGGCGAGAUCCAAAACGUCGGCUACGCAUGUAGAGGCCUUUGCCGACAGGUUCUCGGACGGGGGUUCGACUCCCCCCACCUCCACCA
rnacentral:tmRNA from 1 species